rnacentral:ribozyme from 1 species
UGCCCAGCAACUCCUAUCCCUACCUCCUCGUGGUACCGGCCGGAAACUAUGAGCAACCUUAGGGAAGAUCGGGUAACCAACCCCGGUGGGAACUGACAGGGAAGG